UGAGGAAUACAUGGGAAUCUGCCCAGUCGUGGGGGAUAACGUAUGGAAACGUACGCUAAUACCGCAUGCGCCCUUCGGGGGAAAGUCGGGGACCGCAAGGCCUGACGCGAUUGGAUGAGCCCAUGUCGAUUAGCUAGUUGGCGUGGUAACGGCCCACCAAGGCGACGAUCGAUAGCUGGUCUGAGAGGAUGAUCAGCCACACUGGAACUGAGACACGGUCCAGACUCCUACGGGAGGCAGCAGUAGGGAACAUUGGACAAUGGGGGCAACCCUGAUCCAGCCAUGCCGCGUGAGUGAAGAAGGCCCUCGGGUUGUAAAGCUCUUUUGUUGGGGAAGAAAAGCAGUUGGUUAAUACCCGAUUGUUCUGACGGUACCCAAAGAAUAAGCACCGGCUAACUUCGUG
rnacentral:rRNA from 1 species